rnacentral:rRNA from 1 species
UUCCGGUUGAUCCCGCCAGACCUGACUGCUAUCGGAUUGAUACUAAGCCAUGCGAGUCUUUGUAGUAAUACAAGGCAGACGGCUCAGUAACACGUAGUCAACCUACCCUAUGGACGAGAAUAAUCUCGGGAAACUGAGCAUAAUUCUUGAUAGAUCAUAAUGCCUGGAAUGGUUUAUGGUUAAAAUGAUUCGUCGCCAUAGGAUGGGACUGCGGCCUAUCAGCUUGUUGGUGAGGUAAUGGCCCACCAAGGCGAUUACAGGUACGGGCUCUGAGAGGAGAAGCCCGGAGAUGGGUACUGAGACACGGACCCAGGCCCUAUGGGGCGCAGCAGGCGAGAAAACUUUGCAAUGUGCGAAAGCACGACAAGGUUAAUCCGAGUGAUUUCUGCUAAAGAAAUCUUUUGCCAGUCGUAAAACCGCUGGUGAAUAAGGGGUGGGCAAGUUCUGGUGCCAGCAGCCGCGGUAAU